rnacentral:tRNA from 1 species
GCAGACAUAGUUUAACUAAAACAUUAGAUUGUGGUUCUAGAGACAGGUGUUAAAAUCCCCUUGUCAGCC